ACUGACCUCUGGUUUACCGGUUGUGCCGCCAGGUGCAUCGCCGGGUAUCCAAGUCGGGAUCGGAUAAGCGCUGAAAGCAUCUAAGUGCGAAGCCGGCCACAAGAUUAGAUUUCUCAGGGUCGUCAAAGACGAUGACGUUGAUAGGACGCAGGUGUAAAGACGGUGACGUCAAAGCCGAGCGUUACUAAUUGCCCGUCCGCUUUAUUC
rnacentral:rRNA from 1 species